AACGAACGCUGGCGGCAGGCCUAAUACAUGCAAGUCGAACGCUUGUAGCAAUACAAGAGUGGCGCACGGGUGAAUAACACGUGGGAAUAUGCCUUUUGGUACGGGACAACCUCGGGAAACUGAGGCUAAUACCGUAUGGUCCCUUCGGGGUAAAGAUUUAUCGCCAAAAGAUUAGCCCGCGUCUGAUUAGCUAGUUGGUGAGGUAACGGCUCACCAAGGCGACGAUCAGUAGCUGGUCUGAGAGGACGAUCAGCCACACUGGGACUGAGACACGGCCCAGACUCCUACGGGAGGCAGCAGUAGGGAAUAUUGGACAAUGGGCGAAAGCCUGGUCCAGCCAUGCCGCGUGAGUGAUGAAGGCCUUCGGGUUGUAAAACUCUUUAGCCCGCGAAUAAAAUGACUGUAGCGGGAAAAUAAGCCCCGGCUAACUUCGUGCCAGCCGCCGCCGUAA
rnacentral:rRNA from 1 species